AUUGAACGCUGGCGGCAUGCUUUACACAUGCAAGUCGAACGGCAGCGCGGGCUUCGGCCUGGCGGCGAGUGGCGAACGGGUGAGUAAUGCAUCGGAACGUGCCCAGUAGUGGGGGAUAGCCCGGCGAAAGCCGGAUUAAUACCGCAUACGACCUGAGGGUGAAAGCGGGGGACCGAAAGGCCUCGCGCUAUUGGAGCGGCCGAUGUCGGAUUAGCUAGUUGGUGGGGUAAAGGCUUACCAAGGCGACGAUCCGUAGCUGGUCUGAGAGGACGACCAGCCACACUAGGACUGAGACACGGCGCAGACUCCUACGGGAGGCAGCAGUGGGGAAUUUUGGACAAUGGGGGCAACCCUGAUCCAGCCAUGCCGCGUGCGGGAAGAAGGCCUUCGGGUUGUAAACCGCUUUUGUUCGGGAAGAAAUCCUCUGGGCUAAUACCCCGGGGGGAUGACGGUACCGGAAGAAUAAGCACCGGCUAACUACGUG
rnacentral:rRNA from 1 species